UGAAUAGUGUUGUCGAAGUCUUUCAUGGCUGGAGUGCCGUGAGUGUUCUGAGCUCUAUGGCCAUGUUCCAGAUGCAUUUCCUCCUGACGUUUCUCCCACAUCUAUGGCAGGUAUCCUCAGAGCUUGUGAGGCAUAUUGGAAAUUAAGCAAGGGAGGUUUAUAUAUCUGUGGAAGAUCCAGGGUGGGAGAAUGUUGCAAUUGACCACCUUGAUUAGCAUUGAAUAGUCUUGCAGUUUCAAUGCAUGGCUGCUUCCUGCCUGGGGGAAGCCUUUGUUGGGAGGUGAUUAGCUGGCCCUGAUUGAUUCAUGUCUGAAAUUCCCGGGUUUUUUUUAGUGUUGUUCUUUAUUUACUUGCCCAUGUCUGUUCUACACAGUCUGUAAAAGGCCAAGUGCCGCCUCCAGUUUUCCACCGGGAACCUUUCUCUGCAUGGAAGCCAACUAAGGUGGCGAAGGAAAGUCGUCCUACUGCUGCUUCCUCGCGCGCUGAGGCCAGUGAGGCUCGCGGGCAGCGCGCGCGACUCUUUUGCCCGGGCUUCCGGCUGGCUCUCAGCUGAUUCAUUGGCUCCGGCCGGCCAGACGGGUCGGCGCCUGGCGCGUGACAUCACCCAUUCACACUUCGGCCUCGCUGGCGCCGCCCGGGCGGUCGCCCUGGCAACGAGGACGCCGAGCUCGCCUCAACGACUUCCAGCUGUAUCAGCCCGGAACGAGAGGGAGGGAGGGGCGAGCGCGUCUAACUGCGCCUGCGCGAGAGAGGUUGCUUUCUUCGUUGGUAUGGAAUAGAAUACAGAUAGAGGGACCUGCUUCCUUGAUUGACGGGCGGUUUCGCGAAGGAAUUCGCACUGCAGAAUCCGUGCAGUUUGACCCCACUUUUAACCCUCAUGGCUUAGUGCUAUGGAAAAGAGUUGAGAUUUGCUCUCUUUCAUAACAGUCUACUUCCAAGGGAUUCAAGCCUCAACUGACUUCUGAUGUCUAGCACUGGCUUCUGUACUCAAACAGGCUCAAGCCUCAACAUCUUCUAACCCCUCACACUGGUGUCUGCACUCUAACAGACUCAAGCUUCAUCGUCUUCUAACUCCUCAGACUGGUUUCUGUACUCCAAGAGACUCAAGCCUCAACAUCUUCUAACUCCUCACCCUGGCAUAACAGACUCAAGCCUCAACGUCUUCUAACUCCUCACACUGGCUUCUGUACUCAAAGAGACUCAAGCCUCAACAUCUCACCUGGGACUGGGUGAGCUGUCAAUGAAAUAAAGAAACAAUGGUUCCAUGA